GUGACAGAAGAGAGUGAGCACACAUGGCAUUUUCCUGCAUGACUUUACAUGCUCGAAGCUCUGCGUGCUUACUCUCUAUCUGUCACCC
rnacentral:pre_miRNA from 1 species